AGAGUUUGAUCAUGGCUCAGGACGAACGCUGGCGGCGUGCUUAACACAUGCAAGUCGAACGAGGCGCUUGCGCCUAGUGGCGAACGGGUGAGUAACACGUGAGCAACCUGCCCUUGGCUCUGGGAUAGCCUCCGGAAACGGGGAUUAAUACCGGACAUGACCUUCUCCUGCAUGGGGGAGGGUGGAAAGUUUUUCGGCCAGGGAGGGGCUCGCGGCCUAUCAGCUUGUUGGGGGGGUAACGGCCCACCAAGGCGACGACGGGUAGCCGGCCUGAGAGGGCGACCGGCCACACUGGGACUGAGACACGGCCCAGACUCCUACGGGAGGCAGCAGUGGGGAAUAUUGCACAAUGGGGGAAACCCUGAUGCAGCGACGCCGCGUGCGGGAUGAAGGCCUUCGGGUUGUAAACCGCUUUCAGCAGGGGCGAAUUCAGACGGUACCUGCAGAAGAAGCGCCGGCUAACUACGUGCCAGCAGCCGCGGUAAUACGUAGGGCGCGAGCGUUGUCCGGAAUUAUUGGGCGUAAAGAGCUCGUAGGCGGCCUGUUGCGUCCGCUGUGAAAUCCCAGGGCUUAACCCUGGGCCUGCAGUGGAUACGGGCAGGCUAGAGGCAGGCAGGGGAGAACGGAAUUCCCGGUGUAGCGGUGAAAUGCGCAGAUAUCGGGAGGAACACCGGUGGCGAAGGCGGUUCUCUGGGCCUGUUCUGACGCUGAGGAGCGAAAGCGUGGGGAGCAAACAGGAUUAGAUACCCUCGUAGUCC
rnacentral:rRNA from 1 species